CGGGUGAGUAAUGUCUGGGAAACUGCCUGAUGGAGGGGGAUAACUGCUGGAAACGGUAGCUAAUACCGCAUAACGUCGCAAGACCAAAGAGGGGGACCUUCGGGCCUCUUGCCAUCGGAUGUGCCCAGAUGGGAUUAGCCAGUAGGUGGGGUAACGGCUCACCUAGGCGACGAUCCCUAGCUGGUCUGAGAGGAUGACCAGCCACACUGGAACUGAGACACGGUCCAG
rnacentral:rRNA from 1 species